rnacentral:rRNA from 1 species
AACGAACGCUGGCGGCAGGCUUAACACAUGCAAGUCGAACGCCCCGCAAGGGGAGUGGCAGACGGGUGAGUAACGCGUGGGAAUCUACCCAGUUCUACGGAACAACUGAGGGAAACUUCAGCUAAUACCGUAUACGCCCUACGGGGGAAAGAUUUAUCGGAAUUGGAUGAGCCCGCGUUGGAUUAGCUAGUUGGUGAGGUAACGGCUCACCAAGGCGACGAUCCAUAGCUGGUCUGAGAGGAUGAUCAGCCACAUUGGGACUGGGACACGGCCCGAACUCCUACGGGAGGCAGCAGUGGGGAAUCUUGCGCAAUGGGCGAAAGCCUGACGCAGCCAUGCCGCGUGAAUGAUGAAGGUCUUAGGAUUGUAAAAUUCUUUCACCGGGGACGAUAAUGACGGUACCCGGAGAAGAAGCCCCGGCUAACUUCGUGCCAGCCGCCGCAGUAACAC